rnacentral:rRNA from 1 species
CCUACGGGAGGCUGCAGGGGGGAAUAGUGCACAAUGGGGGAAACCCUGAUGCAGCGACGCCGCGUGAGUGAAGAAGUAUUUCGGUAUGUAAAGCUCUAUCAGCAGGGAAGAAAAUGACGGUACCUGACUAAGAAGCCCCGGCUAACUACGUGCCAGCAGCCGCGGUAAUACGUAGGGGGCAAGCGUUAUCCGGAUUUACUGGGUGUCAAGGGAGCGUAGACGGCAGCGCAAGUCUGAAGUGAAAUCCCAUGGCUUAACCAUGGAACUGCUUUUGAAACUGUGCAGCUGGAGUGCAGGAGAGGUAAGCGGUCUUCCUCUUGUAGCGGUGAACUGCGUAGAUCUUAGGAGGCCCACCAGUGGC